rnacentral:rRNA from 1 species
AUUGAACGCUGGCGGCAUGCCUUACACAUGCAAGUCGAACGGUAACGGGCCUUCGGGUGCCGACGAGUGGCGAACGGGUGAGUAAUGUAUCGGAACGUACCAUUGAGGGGGGGAUAACGCAGCGAAAGUUAUGCUAAUACCGAAUAUUCUCUCCGGACGAAAGCCGGGGACUGCAAGGCCUUGCGCUCUUUGAGCGGGCGGUAUCGGAUUAGCUAGUUGGGGGGGUAAAAGCUCACCAAGGCCACGAUCUGUAGCGGGUCUCGAGAGGAUGAUCCGCCACACUGGGACUGAGACACGGUCCAGACUCCUACGGGAAGCAGCAGUGGGGAAUUUUGGACAAUGGGGGCAACCCUGAUCCAGCCAUGCCGCGUGAGUGAAGAAGGCCUUCGGGUUGUAAAGCUCUUUCAGCCGGGAAGAAAUCGCAUGGGCUAAUACCCCGUGCGGAUGACGGUACCGGAAUAAGAAGCACCGGCUAACUACGUGCCAGCCGCCGCGGUAAAAC